UUGAGAGCUCUCUUUCUGACCACUAUUAAAUCCCUCUAGAUAAAACUUCUAUGAUUUCCCUAUCCUUUUUUGCAAUUUUUUGUUACUUCAACAUCCUCCGACCAAACAACUGAGUGAAGAAACAAGUAUUCAUGUAAUAACCCAUAUUAAAUUAGGGGUUAUUUUGGCAUUUAAUCAAAAUAGAAAAAAAAAUAUAUAGAAGAAAUAAGUGGUACAAAACAAAAGAAAAGGAGGAUUAAGGGUCCUUUAGGGAAAAAAAAAAGUAGGAAAAAAAAAAGAAGGAAAAAGAGAUGUGGGCCAAGCCUACAAAAAGAAAAAAAAAAGAAAAAGAAAAUAAAGAGUAAAAGGGAAUAAGAGAGUCGGACGUGAAUUGCAGAAGCAAAAGUAAUAGAAGCCGAACAGAGGAAAAAAUAAAAAAAUAAAAAUCGCAGUAGAAGAAAGGGAGAAAAAGAGAGGAAAAGAAAAGAGAAAAAUAGGGAUUUUCAACCCUAAUCAUCAAGUUUGAGGCAAUCCGGAGACUCGAGAACGCAGUUUUGAUUUAUUGGGAAGUGUGCUUGAAUUGUGAAUUUGAGAUACUGUCGUUGAGAACGAGGCUGGUAAUUGAAGACUUCGUGAGUGGAUUUUGUUGCUGAGGUGAGCCACCGCAUUGUUCGUGGAGGCAGCCAUUUCAGCUUUAUCUAGUUUAUUUCCAGUUAUUUCUUUUAUUUUGGGUUUACAUGCCCGAUACUCAAACUCAUGUAACUCUGUUAGAUGCUCCAUGGUCUUAGUGUGAGAUGUGGGCUAGAGAUUAUUUUUUUUAUCGUAGCGUUGAUUGGUUUUCAUAAAUCGAUUAUGGAUUUGGUGGGCGACUAUUUCGCAUUUUUA